AAUAAGUGUUUUGAGAAGUAGUAUUUUAAUCUAUGUUCUGUGAAUGACAAGUGUUAUCUGUCAAGUGUCAAAAAACUUGAAAAACUUUUACGAAGUUUUUGAAUUAUGUUAAAUUUGUUUAUAAACACAAGUAAGUAUAGAUUAUUACACUAAAUUAAGGCAUUCUAUCAAAAAUGAAAACAACCCAAGUUUCAAUAACUACUCCUGUAACUUUGGUUUCUUCAUAUCAAAUAAUCAAUUUCAUUUUCAGUGCCAAAGGCAAGAAUAAUUGCCCACGCCAGAUGGAGACCCAGCUAAAUAAUGUAGUAACAGCGCGUGGUCGUGUGAUGAGGGUUCCUUGACUUGAGUUCUGGCGCAACACGUCCUGGGCACUAAACAAGAUUGGGGAUGGGACGUCUAAAGAGGUGCAAGCCUGGAAAACGCUCUCGUCUUGCUCUACAGCACUUGCACUUGUCCCACCAUCUACCAGUGUUGGAACUCUUCCAAUAAUUUCCCACACCCAGGUGGAGAAUACUCCAGUUACUGCUACUGCUACUCUAAAAUAUCUCUCAUCUUGUUCUACAGCGCCUGCACCUGUCCUACCAUCUACCAGUGUUGGAACUCUUCGAAGUGUAUUAAUGAUUAUUAUUUUAGUAACCAUAAAAGUUUAAAACAAUACAUUUUAUUGCAUAAUUAUUUGUUAGAAAAAACGACAAGUACAAAUGAGUAGGGAGGCUGUUGAUUUUUCAUGGUUAUUUUAUAUCUUGUUGAUUGUUCCAAAAAAAAACUAAGUUUUCAAGAAUGCUGUGAUUAAAGUACCUAUAGUAUAUUUAAAAUAAAAACUUAGUUUGUAAAGAGACGAAGGCUGACCACAAAAGAAGUACUUAUAGCUGUCUGUGUCUGUGUAAAGAAUUUAAAUAAAAAGAUGUGUAUAUUUAAA